GUCUGUCAAGAGAAAGGGAGAAAACAACAUCAUAGUGGUGAAGAAGGCUCAAGCUAGAUAGAGAGGAAAAAGAGAUCCAAGCUAGAAGAAAGUCUACAAGAGAUGAAAAACCUUCUGGUGCACA